rnacentral:rRNA from 1 species
AGACGGGGGGUGCUAGCGUUGUUCGGAAUUACUGGGCGUAAAGGGCGCGUAGGCGGCUCUGCGAGUCGGGCGUGAAAUCCCGGGGCUCAACCCCGGAACGGCGCUCGAUACUGCGGGGCUGGAGACCGGAAGAGGAGGGUGGAAUUCCCAGUGUAGAGGUGAAAAUCGUAGAUAUUGGGAGGAACACCGGUGGCGAAAGCGGCUCUCUGGUCCGGUUCUGACGCUGAGGCGCGAAAGCGUGGGGAGCAAACAGGAUUAGAAACCCUAGUAGUCC